CAAAAAAUAAUUUUCUAACAAUUUGUUUCUAAAAGUUUGAUUUAAAAAAGCUUCCCAAAGCUAUGUUUCUUUACGCAAAAAUAAUGUUAUGCAGUAAAAGCUUUAAAAAAAAGCUUAAUUAAAAAAUUGCUGAAAAACGAUAAAAGAAAAUCUUUAAACUAGAAUCGAAUGUUUAUAUUCUUAAAACUAAAAUAAUUUUUAUUUAUUUUCUUUCCAGUUGGAACAAUACGUGCCCGGUUUACCCAAGAAAAUUGAAAACACAGCAGGUACUGUAAAAACGGUUUCAUUAGAUGUUUAUGGCAAGGCUGUUGCUUUCUUCAAGACUCAAGUGUUGGUUGGACGUUUGUCACCUGAAAAUUUAAGUAAAACCUUUAAUCAAACUCAAACUUUGGCUUUGGAAUAUUACAAUCAAUUUCAUAAAAAAGUUGAUGCCUAUGCCAAACUGAAAUGAUUUCCCACAACAGCAGCAAAUGAUGACAUCCUACUAAAACAUUCACAUCAACAGCAACAACAACAACAACAGCAGCCGCAGCAUCAGUCACAUUUGUAAAAAAAAAAGAAAAACAAAAUAUGGUUUAUUGCUAGAAAUCAUCGAGUACAGCAGCAGCCAUAUUCUUAAACAACUCAAGAUCUUUAUAAAUAAUAAUAAAACAAACGAAAUAUCUCAACAACAUCAUGUCUCGACAUGCGUGUGUGUGUGCUGUAAAUUAAAUUCUAGUUUAAUAGUUUUUACUCUAUUCUAUACAGAAAACAAAUAAAAUAAUGCAGCAAGUUGUCUAUAC